rnacentral:lncRNA from 10 species
GUGUCCCCCCCCGGACCCCACGCCGCGGGAGCUUGGGGGUUGCGGUCUUCUCUUCCUCCGACCUCACCUUCGAUGCGGAAGCGCAGGGGCAGCCCCUACCCUCGUGACUACAAGGGAAAACGUGCGGUGCUCACGAGAGAGCCUUUAUGGGAUUUUUAAAAAAUGGGGAUUGUGGGAAAAUGGCUCCAGCAGUCACAGUUUUUCAGUUUCUCACAAUCCCAUAAAAACAGAGCAACCAGGUAACAAAACUAAAGCAUGGGCAACAUUUACAGACCACUGGAUGGUGAAGAAUUCCCAUGAACCCCUGGUUCACACUGUAAGGACACACUACUCAGCAUGGGCAACAUUUACAGACUACUGGAUGGUGAAGAAUUCCCAUGAACCCCUGGUUCACACUGUAAGGACAGACUACUCAGCAUGGGCAACAUUUACAGACCACUGGAUGAUGAAGAAUUCCCAUGAACUCCUGGUUCCAACUGUAAGGACACACUACUCAGCUGUAGCCUGAAGCCGCCUCCUUACAUACUGUAAGUUUAGCCUAUAGGUUUCUCCAUACGUAGUGAACAGUCAUCUAAUUGGAUGUGUGGACACUGUAACCUACUCUUGAAUCAGUCACAGGCAGCAGCACUUCAAACUCUGUUUCAAUAAGCCAGACACGAGCUGUAGCCACCCUGCUGUUUGCAGGCCUCACCUCUGCCUUCUGUGCCUCACUCCCUUUUCUGUCCGUAAGUCUUUGGCCACACAGUGGCACUGGAGUCUCUCUGAGCCUAUUCUGGUUUGAGGGGUUCCCUGAUUCCUGAAUCAUUCUUUGCUCAAUUAAACUCUGUAAAAUUUAAUGUUUCUAAAGUUUUCCUUUGAACACUACCAACAGCGCAAGCCCAGGGUGAUGUCGGGGCCUGCGAGAGAGAAAGUAGGGGGGCCAAGGGCUCCACACUCACUGUGUGAACAGGUUUGUCUCAAAGGUUGUUGAUAUGUAUCAGCAUUCCCUAUUUGAACCUGUUCCCACCAGCAGUAUGUGAACUUUGGUUUGAAAAAAUAAUUCUGUAAAAUGGGAAGAACCGUGUGUUAUGUAUGGACUUUGAAAUACAGACCUCGAUGGAACUGACAGACUGAUCUAGGUAGACAGAUGUAGACAUCCCUAGGUGAUUACAACUCCAACCUGGAUAGAUGCCAUGUAGUCUUCCAAUUAGAGAUGCUAUACAGCCAAUGAAACUUAACCAUGUCUUUAAUAGGUGUGCCACCUUUUGUUAAAAUCAGUUAUCUUACAAGUAUCAUGAGAAAAAACAUUAGUAUCAACAGAUUGAAACAUUUAUUGGGAAGAAAGUGAGGCCACAGUCAGGAAAAAUAGCAUAAGCCACAACCUCUUAGUCAAGAAUCUUAGAAACAGCUGUGUUUCGUGUGUUUCAGAACUCUGAAUUGUUCUGAUUUUAGGAAAGUGACGUGUGCAUAUUCCACUUGGGGCCUGGGGCAACACCCUCAUCAAACUGAUAUUCCUGCAGCAAAAUACAAGCAGGACGAAAAGGAUCAUGGGUCGUCUCGUGCCAAAUCAGGUUAGACUUUCCGCCAAAUGAAGUACACAAAACUUUCCAUGUUUAGGACUAUGAAUUUGGGCCAGGCACUGUGACUCAUGCCUGUAAUCCCAGCACUUUGAGAGGCUGAGACAGGUGGAUCACUUGAGCCCGGGAGUUCAAGACCAACCUGGGCAACAUAGUGAGACCUCAUUUCUACAAAAAAUUAGCUGAGUGUGGUGGUGUGCACCUGUCUGGAGUCCCAGCUACUCAGGAGGCUGAGGUGGGAGGAUCCAUUGAGCCUAGGAGGUCAAGGCUGCAGUGAGCUGUGAUUGCACCACUGUCCUCCAGUCUGAGCAACAGAGCGAGACCCUGUCUUAAAAAAAAUGGAUACUGGGGCCACAGAUAAGAGGUAUGGGACUGUAAUGCAGUCACCUUUACGUAGUGGCUCAGGGGAAAAGGAGGAAUCCCAGUCCCCAGAAUUCUAGUUUUAUCUACGUCACGGGUGGUUUUGGUGAAACCUGGAAGGAUUCUGUGGUCACUUUUCCUCACUGAUGUAUGUUUCCUCCAAACUCAACUGUGUCAUUUGAUUAGCAUGCAAGGGUCUGUGCUAGCAAGGCCAGAACAAAAGGAGGUUAAGGGGAAGGACAGCAGUUGUAGGAAUAGAAUAUGGCCUUGGGGAGUCCAAGAUCUCCUGGGCCUGGGUAUCUGUGUGUGAACAUCAUCUGCACGUAUGUGACUAUGCUUGGGGCCCUUUAACUGUUGCACAGGCCAACAUGUGGCCCCCAAGACCCUUAUCUGACACCUUAUGUGAAAACUCAGUGGAUUAAAGACUAAACAAGAAAUAAAGGUAUACAAUUUCUAGAAGAAAACGGGAAAAAUUUAUGACAUUGGAUUUAGCAGUGAUUUAUUGGAUAUGACACCAAAGACACGGGCAACAAAAGUAAAACUAAGACGACAUCAGGCUUAGAAACUUCUGUGCAUCGAAGGACACAAUCAACCUUUCCCUUCUGUGCAGGGAAAAGGUAACCUGUGGAAUGUGAGAAAAUAUCUGCAAAUCAUAUAUCUGAUAAGGGGUUAAUAUCUGGAAUAUAUAGACAACCACCACUCAACAGUAAAACAAGUCACCUCAUUUAAAAAUGAGCAAGGGACUUCAACAGACACUUCUCUGAAGAGGAUAUACAGUCAGCACUCUAUCGAUGGGUUUUGCAUCCCUGGAUGUAACCAGCCAGGGAUUGAAAAUAUUUUUAUUAAAAAAAUGUGCCCAUGCUGAACAUGUACAGACUUUCCUUCUCAUUGUUCUCUAAACAAUAUAGUGUAACAACUAUUUACAUAGCAUUUACUUUGCAUUAGCUAUUAUAAGUAAUCUAGUGACGAUUUAAAGGAUGCAGGAGGGUGUGCAUAGGUUACAGGCAAAUACUCCCAACAUCCUUAGAUUUUGGUCCGUGGGAGGUUCUGGAACCAGUCCCCCACAGAUACCAAGGGACAGUCGUAUUUACAGAUGACCAGUAGGCACAUGAAAAGAUGCUCAAAAUCACUGACCAUUAGAGAAAUGCGAACCACAGUCACAAUGAGAUGAUCACUCCAUACUCAUGAGGAUGGCUAUGAUGAAAAACAGCAUGGAGUUAGGAUGGCUGUGAUGAAAACAGCAUGGAGGUUUUCCUCAGAGUUAGCAUGUGAUCCAGGAAUCCCACCUGUACGUAUUUACCCAAAGAAUUGAAAGCAAAGUCUAAAGAGCCACUUGCACACCAUGUUCACAGCUGCACUGUUCACAGUAGCCAAGAGGCAGAAACAACAUAGCGUCAAUCAACAGAUGAAUGGACAAGCCAGGUGGCCUGUGAGAUGGGAUAUUAUUAAGCCUUAAAAAGGAAUGAAGGCCAGGCACAGUGUCUCAUGCCUGUAAUCCCAGCACUUUGGGAGGCCGAGGUGGGUGGAUCACGAGGUCAGGAGAUCGAGACCAUCCUGGCUAACAUGGUGAAACCCCAUCUCUACUAAAAAUACAAAGAAUUAGCCGGGUGUGGUGGUGGGCACCUGUAGUCCCAGCUACUCCGGAGGCUGAGGCAGGAGAAUGGUGUGAACUGGGAGGCGGAGCUUGCGGUGAGCCGAGAUCGCGCCACUGCACUCCAGCCUUGGCGACAGAGCAAGACUCCAUCUCCAAAAAAAAAAAGGAAUGAAAUUCUGACCCAUGCUACAACAUGGGUGAACCUUGAAGAAACUAUGCCAAGUGAAAUAAGCCAGCUGCGAAAAGGCAAAUACUGUCUUUUUUUUUUUUUCUUUUGAGACAGAGUCUUGCUCUGUUGCCAAGCUGGAGUGCAGUGGCAUGAUCUUGGCUGUGCAAUACCGUCUUAUUCCCCUUCUGUGAGAUGCCUAAAGUCAAAUUUAUAGAAACAGAAAACAAAAUGGUAGUUACCAGGGCUGGGGGCAGGGUGGGCAGUUGUUUGAUGGGUACAGAGUUUUAGUUUUGCAAGAUAAAAAAAAUUCAGACCAAUAUGAAUAAACAAUGCUACUAAAGUGUACACUUAAAAACAGUUAAUAUGGUAAAUUUUAUGUAUUUUUUAACCACAAUUAAAAUGUAUUAUUAUUUUUUAUUGAGAUGGAAUCUUGCUCUGUUGCCCAGGGUGGAGUGCGGUGGUGCAAUCUCGGCUCACUGCAACCCCCAUCUCUCGGGUUCAAGCAGUUCUCCUGCCUCAGCCUCCUGAAUAGAUGGGACUACGGGCACCCACCACCAUGCCCGGCUAAUUUUUGUAUUUUCAGUAGAGAUGGGAUUUCACCAUGUUGGCCAGGCUGGUCUCAAACUCCUGGGUUCAAGUGAUCCACGCAUCUUGGCCUCCCAAAGUGCUGGGAUAACAGGCGUGAGCCACCACACCCGGCCUGGAGUUAACAUUUAAAAAGUGUAAGAGGCCUCUACUGGAAUUAGAUGAUUAUUUUUCAGACUUAUUUUUAGAGAUCACUUUGCAGAGUUCUGCUUAAUUUGUGGCAUAAUAGAAUAAAUAUUCCGAUUUCUGAACUAAAUAAUCUGAGAAUGUACUCAUUUCAUAAUGUGAACCAGAAUUGCUUGAGAAGCACAGAGGUAAUGGGAAUUAAGUACAUUUAAAAAAGCAAAUUCCAGGUCUAUUUAGAUGCUCUUUAAAGACCAUUGCCUGUGACACCUGUUUCUAAAAGUUAAUAAUCUCUAGGCCAAAAAAGAAAAGAAAAUGAAAUGUUAACCAGUUUUUACUCCCCUUGAUGACUUUCUUUUUUCCUUUUUUUACUUUCCUUUGUGAUUUCUUUGUGAGUUCUUCCUAACUUCCCAUUCAGGCCAAAAUCAUGAACAGCUUUAGAUGUUGGUUACACUGUGAAUCUUAACACUGAGAACCCACUUACCUUGCUAAGCAUCUCUGCAGAGGCAAGGAUGGUGCUUAUUGUCGGGGGCAGAUGACACUUUGCCAGCUGCUGUACCAAGUGCAUUGCAGAGCCUGGUCUCAUUUCAUCUGCACCAUGACUCACUGAGGUAGCUACGGUUUCCAGCUUACAGAUAAGAGAGGAAAGCGAGGCCUGCGGAGGUUUGGGUGCUCAGCUGCACAGCCAGGAGCGGGCAGGACUGGCAUCUGGAAGCCAGGUGGCUGACUGCAGACCCUGCUCCCGUUACCUCCGCUAGACGUCUUUGUGAUCUCAGCUGAUGAAGGGGCCGUACUCCAGGGCCGUCAAAACGAAACGGGACAGCUUUUUCGAUAAAUACAAUUUAUCUGAAUAAUGUAGGAAAUACAGAAUAUAGUUGAUGUUUUGUUUGGUGUUUUAUUUUUGCCCUCCUUACAAGAGGACUGGCAGGAAGGGGACGGAGGCCGCUAGACUGGUCUGACUUCAGGGGCAGGUGAGAAUGAUGCCUUGGGCUGGGCUCACCGUGCCUAAGUGUGCAGUACAGAGAAGGCAAGGCUCUAGGGAGGUGAGGGCAGGCUGGCGGGUGGACGCAGCUCCCUGCUUCCUGCGUUUCACAGAGCCCAGCUGGCCCCUGGUCCUGAUGCCAUUUGAAGGAAAAUGUCAGGAGCCAGAUCAGGGCAGCAAGGAGUGGAGGCUCCUUUCAUUCCUCCAUACCCACUAGCUGUCACAUAAGGCAACAGUUCUGCCCCCUCAGGGAGCUGCCUCACUCAGGCUCACGUUCAGGUUCCGAGCUUUGAACUUCAGUCAGUGUGCCAGCUGUCUGCUGAAUUUCAGUCUCAACAUACGAGGAAUGGAAGGAAAUUUCUUUAGCUUGAUAAACAGCCUCUACAAAAAACCUGUAGCUGACAUCAGACUCAAUGCUUGAAGAUGGGAGGCCUUCGCCUAAAAUCAGGAAUAAAACAAGAGCGGCUUGCCCCUUCUAGGUAAUUGUGUACAGAAGGCUCUAGCCAGGGCAGUUAGUCAAGAAAAAAAGCAUCCAAUUCAAAAGAAAGGUAUAAAACAAUCUCUAGAGAUUGUUGAAGAUGGCUUAAUCUUUUAUGUAAAAAAAGCCUAUGGCAGGGCACAAUGGCUCACACCUAUGAUCCCAGUGCUUUGGGAGGCCAAGGUGAGAGGACUGCUUGAGCCCAGGAGUUCAAGGCCAGCCAGGGCAACACAGUGAGACCCCAUCUCUACAAAACAAACAAACAAACAACCUAUGGAAUCUUUUUUUUUUGAGACGAGUUUUGCUCUUGUUACCCAGGCUGGAGUGCAGUGGCGCGUUCUCAGCUCACUGUAACCUCUACCUCCUGGGUUCAAGCAAUUCUCCUGCCUCAGCCUCCCGAGUAGCUGGGAUUACAGGCACCCGCCACCACACCUGGCUAAUUUUUGUAUUUUUGGUAGAGACAGGGUUUCACCAUGUUGGCCAGGCUGGUCUGCAACUCCUGACCUCAGGUGAUCUGCCCACCUUGGCCUCCCAAAGUGCUGGGAUUACAGGCAUGAGCCACCGCGCCCGGCUGGAAUUCAUUUUAAAAACCUUAGAAAAACCAUGUUUAGCAAUGUUGCAGGAUAUAAAUUGUGUUUCUAUAUACCAGCAAUGAGAAAGCCA